rnacentral:ncRNA from 2 species
UACGCGAUAGCGGGAGAGACCGGCCCACGGGCCGGCGCCGAAGGAGCAACCGCCCCGGAAACUCUCAGGCACCAGGGACCGUUAUCGUGGC